AACGAACGCUGGCGGCAGGCUUAACACAUGCAAGUCGAGCGCCCUAGCAAUAGGGAGCAGCGCACGGGUGAGUAACGCGUGGGAACGUACCAUUUAGUGGGGGAUAACUUCGGGAAACUGAAGCUAAUACCGCAUACGCCCGAGAGGGGAAAGAUUUACCGCUAAAUGAUCGGCCCGCGUGAGAUUAGGUAGUUGGUGGGGUAAUGGCCUACCAAGCCUACGAUCUCUAGCUGGUCUGAGAGGAUGAUCAGCCACACUGGAACUGAGACACGGUCCAGACUCCUACGGGAGGCAGCAGUGGGGAAUAUUGGACAAUGGGGGAAACCCUGAUCCAGCCAUGCCGCGUGAAUGAUGAAGGCUUUAGGGUUGUAAAGUUCUUUCACCGAUGAAGAUAAUGACGGUAGUCGGAGAAGAAGCCCCGGCUAACUUCGUGCCAGCCGCCGCAGUAA
rnacentral:rRNA from 1 species